AAAAAAAUACUGGAGUAGUAAUAGUUAUAGGCUUGAAACUAAAAAAAUUUGGCGGUAUUUUAGUCUAUUCAGAGGAACUUGUUUUAUAAUCGAUAAUCCACGAUGGACCUAACUUAAAUUUGUUAAUCAGUUUGUAUACCGCUGUUAUAGAAAAUUUUAUAAGAAAAAUAAUUUUCAAUAAAUUAAAUAAAAUUAUAUAUCAAGUCAAGGUGCAGUUUAUGUUUAAGUAAAUAAUGAGUUACAAUAAUUAAAAUUAAACGAAUUAAAUAUUGAAAUAUAUUUAUGAAGGUGGAUUUGAAAGUAAAUUUUUAAAGAUUAAAAAAUUG
rnacentral:rRNA from 1 species